AGAAAGACUGUGAAAGAGAGUAGUAAAUUGUCACGCGUCAUCCAGGGAUGAAAUGCCUUAGACUGGAAGCAUUUCUAUGAUAGAAGCAAUCGAAUUCACUCUAGAGUCGGCACCGGAACAUAAGAAAAUGGCUUAUUAAGGUUGCAUCGGUCAAGGACCGUUAUCAAGAUUGAGUGAACGUUUCUUUUUAGAAACGUUAAUUAGGGUGGUACCGCGAAGCUUUUCGUCCCUUUA
rnacentral:ncRNA from 1 species